UGGAACCGCAUGGUUCUAAAGUGAAAGAUGGUUUUGCUAUCACUUAUAGAUGGACCCGCGCCGUAUUAGCUAGUUGGUAAGGUAACGGCUUACCAAGGCGACGAUACGUAGCCGACCUGAGAGGGUGAUCGGCCACACUGGAACUGAGACACGGUCCAGACUCCUACGGGAGGCAGCAGUAGGGAAUCUUCCGCAAUGGGCGAAAGCCUGACGGAGCAACGCCGCGUGAGUGAUGAAGGGUUUCGGCUCGUAAAACUCUGUUAUUAGGGAAGAACAAAUGUGUAAGUAACUGUGCACGUCUUGACGGUACCUAAUCAGAAAGCCACGGCUAACUACGUGCCAGCAGCCGCGGUAAUACGUAGGUGGCAAGCGUUAUCCGGAAUUAUUGGGCGUAAAGCGCGCGUAGGCGGUUUCUUAAGUCUGAUGUGAAAGCCCACGGCUCAACCGUGGAGGGUCAUUGGAAACUGGGAAACUUGAGUGCAGAAGAGGAAAGUGGAAUUCCAUGUGUAGCGGUGAAAUGCGCAGAGAUAUGGAGGAACACCAGUGGCGAAGGCGACUUUCUGGUCUGUAACUGACGCUGAUGUGCGAAAGCGUGGGGAUCAAACAGGAUUAGAUACCCUGGUAGU
rnacentral:rRNA from 1 species